rnacentral:rRNA from 1 species
AGUUCUCUCAAUCUUGAUCUUGAUCUUGACCUCAAAUCAGGUAGGAUUACCCGCUGAACUUAAGCAUAUCAAUAAGCGGAGGAAAAGAAACUAACAAGGAUUCCCCUAGUAACUGCGAGUGAAG